ACUCAAAGGAAUUGACGGGGGCCCGCACAAGCGGUGGAGCAUGUGGUUUAAUUCGAUGCAACGCGAAGAACCUUACCUACUCUUGACAUCCAGAGAACUUUGCAGAGAUGCAUUGGUGCCUUCGGGAACUCUGAGACAGGUGCUGCAUGGCUGUCGUCAGCUCGUGUUGUGAAAUGUUGGGUUAAGUCCCGCAACGAGCGCAACCCUUAUCCUUUGUUGCCAGCGGUUCGGCCGGGAACUCAAAGGAGACUGCCAGUGAUAAACUGGAGGAAGGUGGGGAUGACGUCAAGUCAUCAUGGCCCUUACGAGUAGGGCUACACACGUGCUACAAUGGCAUAUACAAAGAGAAGCGACCUCGCGAGAGCAAGCGGACCUCAUAAAGUAUGUCGUAGUCCGGAUCGGAGUCUGCAACUCGACUCCGUGAAGUCGGAAUCGCUAGUAAUCGUGGAUCAGAAUGCCACGGUGAAUACGUUCCCGGGCCUUGCACACACCGCCCGU
rnacentral:rRNA from 1 species